rnacentral:rRNA from 1 species
GAUGAGCGCUAGCGGCAGGCUUAACACAUGCAAGUCGAGGGGUAUAUGUCUUCGGAUAUAGAGACCGGCGCACGGGUGCGUAACGCGUAUGCAAUCUACCUUUUACAGAGGGAUAGCCCAGAGAAAUUUGGAUUAAUACCUCAUAGUAUAGCUCUACCGCAUGGUAGUACUAUUAAAGUCACAACGGUAAAAGAUGAGCAUGCGCUCCCAUUAGCUAGUUGGUAAGGUAACGGCUUACCAAGGCAACGAUGGGUAGGGGUCCUGAGAGGGAGAUCCCCCACACUGGUACUGAGACACGGACCAGACUCCUACGGGAGGCAGCAGUGAGGAAUAUUGGACAAUGGGCGCAAGCCUGAUCCAGCCAUGCCGCGUGCAGGAUGACGGUCCUAUGGAUUGUAAACUGCUUUUGUACGAGAAGAAACACUGCUUCGUGAAGCAGCUUGACGGUAUCGUAAGAAUAAGGAUCGGCUAACUCCGUGCCAGCAGCCGCGGUAAUACGGAGGAUCCAAGCGUUAUCCGGAAUCAUUGGGUCUAAAGGGUCCGUAGGCGGUUUAGUAAGUCAGUGGUGAAAGCCCAUCGCUCAACGGUGGAACGGCCAUUGAUACUGCUGAACUUGAAUUAUUAGGAAGUAACUAGAAUAUGUAGUGUAGCGGUGAAAUGCUUAGAGAUUACAUGGAAUACCAAUUGCGAAGGCAGGUUACUACUAAUUGAUUGACGCUGAUGGACGAAAGCGUGGGGAGCGAACAGG